AUUGAACGCUGGCGGCAAGCCUAACACAUGCAAGUCGAACGAGUGGCGGACGGGUGAGUAAUGUCUGGGAAACUGCCUGAUGGAGGGGGAUAACUACUGGACACGGUAGCUAAUACCGCAUACCAUCGGAUGUGCCCAGAUGGGAUUUGCUAGUAGGUGGGGUAAAGGCUCACCUAGGCGACGAUCCCUUGCUGGUCUGUGAGGAUGACCAGCCACACUGGAACUGAGACACGGUCCAGACGACUACGGGAGGCAUCAGUGGGGAAUAGUGCACAAUGGGCGCAAGCCUGAUGCAGCCAUGCCGCGUGUAUGAAGAAGGCCGUCGGGUUGUAAUGUACGUUCAGCGGGGAGGCGUUACCCGCAGAAGAAGCACCGGCUAACUCCGUGCCAGCAGCCGCGGUAAUAC
rnacentral:rRNA from 1 species